GGGUCAUUAGGUUGGUCGUGCCACCGGUACGUACUGGUCUCACUGAUUCCUCCUUCCUGAAGAACCGUAAUGCCAUUAAUUUGGUGUUGCGGGGGAAACAGGACUGUUACUUUGAAAAAAUUAGAGUGUUUAAAGCUAGCUAACGCUUGAAUACAUUAGCAUGGAAUAAUGAAAUAGGACGAUCGAUCCUAUUUUGUUGGUUUCUAGGAUUGACGUA
rnacentral:rRNA from 1 species